UUCUUCUUCUUCUUCAUUGUUAUCUACUUCCAGUUGUGAAUUAUCUAUAGUUUAUGUGAUUGAAUCUUUUCUUGAUACGCUGGAGUAGCAAAAAUUAUGAAUGUUCCUCUGGUCAAACUAAUUUCCUUUUCUCCAUGUUAGCAUCACAAAACCAAGCCCUGUGAAUGAUAUUUGAUAGAAGACACUAAUGGUAGAGAAUAAUAUCACUGGAAAUUGUAUUUUGAAUGCCUUUGAGUGUGCUAAAAUUCUUUCUUCAUUUUGGCCAAUUUUCUCAAACUUUGUUGUGCAUGAGUACUAUUGUAUGUCAAACCUUCAUGUUCCUCAAAAAACCAUGUAAUUGUUUCAUUUUGAAUAUGAGAGAGGGUUAAUUAAGAUGGUUUGGUCAUG
rnacentral:misc_RNA from 1 species